CAAUUUAUAUAAUAGAUAAAUCAACACAUUGAUUCAAACAACUAACUGAAAAUGCAUGCCUCCUAAGCAAAGUCUUUUAUCUCGAUUUAUUUCGGUUUUCGGUUAUUCGGCGGCCGCUUAUGCCGCUAAUUUUCCUCCGUUGGCUCCUCGUAUUUUCUUAAUGAUAUCGAAAUAAAAUCCCCAAAAUUAUUAAAGUAUGUAAUUAAAUUAACGCAACCACUUUCCCUCGAACUAUAUUUAUUUCGGACUUAGGAUAUAAUUAUUCAUUCGUAGAACUAUUCCGGAUUUAAUUAAAUAAUUCCCCACAAUUAAUUUAAUUUUUACUCAAAAAAAUUUAAUUAGUUAUUAGCCCAAAGAUUUAAAUGGAUCCCAUAGAUUUAAUACAUCCUCCCAUUUAAAAGAUGAGGCCCAACUUAAAUAAAACAAAAGCCCAAUUUAUUAAAUCAAGGCCCACAUUAUUUCUUAAAAAAAAAAGGCCCAAGAACCCAAAUUCCUUCCUUCACUCCCGUUUCCUUCUUCCUCUCUCUCUAUCUCUCUUCUUCUCUCACUCUCGACCAAAUCGGAAGAAAUCCUCCAUCCGUUCGUCGCCUGCUCCGAUUCACUCCACGCCGUCGGCCGCUGCUCACCGGGAAGACAAAUUGCGGCCGCCACGGUGUCGUCGGAGCGGGGGAAAUCCGGCCGUCGAUCCGUCGGACAGCCCCUGCUGUCGCGUCGCUGCUCCGUCGCCGCCAAAUCCGUCUGCCGUCGCUGCUGGGAGGUGUCGCCGGGUCAGGCUGGUGCUGCCGCCGCUCCGUCGGUGGUCGUGCAGCCCCGAAACCACCCCGAAACAGACCCGAUUCCCUCCGAACAGCCCCAAAACAUCCCGGAACCAACCCGUUCAGCCCCGCAAGACCCCGAUGAUUGUGGCAACAGUAGGAUGAAAAGUAUAUGGAUGUAGUAGAAUGAGAUUGAAAUUUGGAUGGCAGAGGUGUAUACCUUCAAUUGGCAGAUUGUGGAAAAGAAGCUUCAACUCGAUAAAUCCCCCGGCUUCUAUUUUAAUUGUCAAUUUCUCCUUAACUGUGAAUUGAAGAAUUGGUAUCAUGGAAUUAAUUCAUGGAGGUUCGUAUUCAUGGAAUUGUGAAGAAAUUACCUUAGUUGGAUAGACAACCACAGAUAAAAAAACUGGAGUCUUGAUCUCACGGUUCCUCCUUUUUUUCAGAUUGCUGGUAGAAUGAGGAAACUAGGAAACUAAUUGUGAAUGGGAUAUUAUAGAAAAGGGUAGUUGAUAGAUAUGGGAGAGAUUUAUGGGGUGAGGGGAGAAACUUUUUUUUUUUACGUGGGUUAAGGGGGAGGGUUUUCAAUUUUUCUUUUAUUUUUCUUCUCUCUAUUUCUUUGAUUUAAUUGAAUUUAUUUGGUAUUUUAUUUGUAGAUUACGGAGGAUGAAUAUCUCAUUACGGAGGAUGAAGAUAUCUGUAGGAUCUUUAUUUAGUAAUUGAAUUAAUAUCAAGGAGAAUCUUUAAUUCACGGUCCAUUGUAUUUUAUUUUAAAUUGUGUAGUACAUAAUUUAUUUAUCACGGACUGGACCUUUAUAUUAUUGUCCAAUUAUUCGA